rnacentral:lncRNA from 1 species
CCAUGAUAAAGCCUUUGGCUCUAAAUGUGUUUCAGGGAUAUUCAAAGUGGAAAUCUUUCUCUCCAUCUGGGGAAUUGCUUGGUGUCGACUGACAAGGAAAUGGAAGAUGUGGAAGAAAAAGCAUGCCAUCCUGAUGCAAAGAUUGCAGAAUCUUUGAUGCAGUCACUCUGUCCACAAAUUCUUUGGUAAGUCCCAGCUCCUGCCUACAACAGGAAUCACGAAGAGUUGAAAACAUCAGGAAACCUAUACAAGUUCCCAUCAUGUGACAGAUUUUUAGCUGAAAGCUUUGUCCAUUUUGAUUUCUUUAUCAAUA